AACGAACGCUGGCGGCAGGCUUAACACAUGCAAGUCGAGCGCCCCGCAAGGGGAGCGGCAGACGGGUGAGUAACGCGUGAGAAUCUGGCUUCAGGUCGGGGACAACAACUGGAAACGGUUGCUAAUACCGGAUGUGCCGAAAGGUGAAAGCUUUAGUGCCUGAAGAUGAGCUCGCGUCGGAUUAGCUAGUUGGCGGGGUAAGAGCCCACCAAGGCGACGAUCAGUAGCUGGUCUGAGAGGAUGAGCAGCCACACUGGGACUGAGACACGGCCCAGACUCCUACGGGAGGCAGCAGUGGGGAAUUUUCCGCAAUGGGCGCAAGCCUGACGGAGCAAGACCGCGUGAGGGAGGAAGGCCUUUGGGUUGUAAACCUCUUUUAUUAAGGAAGAAGUUCUGACGGUACUUAAUGAAUAAGCAUCGGCUAACUCCGUGCCAGCAGCCGCAGUAAAAC
rnacentral:rRNA from 1 species